rnacentral:rRNA from 1 species
UACGUAGGGGGCUAGCGUUGUCCGGAAUCAUUGGGCGUAAAGAGCGUGUAGGCGGACGUGUCAGUCAGGGGUGAAAUCCCGGAGCUCAACUUCGGAACUGCCUUUGAUACAGCACGUCUUGAGUCCGGAAGAGGUGGGUGGAAUUCCUAGUGUAGAGGUGAAAUUCGUAGAUAUUAGGAAGAACACCGGUGGCGAAGGCGGCCCACUGGUCCGGUACUGACGCUGAGGUGCGAAAGCGUGGGGAGCAAACAGG